AACGGCCGUACCAUGCUGAAUAUACCGGUUCUCGUUAGAUCACCGAAGUUGCACCGAAGCAUCAUUGGGCGCGGUCAGUACUUGGGUGGGUGACCACCUGGGAACACUGCGUGCCGUU